CGCGACUGGCAGACCACCGUAACACGCGCACAACAAAGCAAAGCUCGCAAGAAUCAAAUCGCCCUUCCACAUAUCAGCCAGUGGUCCAGAAGGUCCAGAUGGCCUGUCCGCCCUUUCUUGCCUCCGCAACACGCUGAAUCUCACGGAAUAUUUUGGGAAGCAGGCAAGCUGUUUCCAGUCUCUAUGCUAAAGUUAAGUUAACCCUCCCCCAGCUUUAACCUUCUUCUCAUAAGAAGGUGAAUCAGCCUAUUUUCCCAAAAAUAUUGAUCUUUCUGUUGGUCUCCUCGAGAUAAUAUGAAUUAAGGUGAAAUGUGCGGUGUUUGUUGGUUGCUGCCACAAGGCUGUGGGUGAAUUUGCUUUGUCAUGAGCGCCGCGCGGGACACACGACCCCCUCCGCAGCGAGCUCCCCGCUGGCAUCUGUACCAGGUCAAGCUCGCCAUCAAGAAUGCCGUCUAUUUCCAGUUGACCCGCCGUGACAGCUUGUUGUACCCGGGCCAUUCGAUUACGGCUGCCAGAGCGGAGGAAGAGGAGGACGAGGAAGACGCGUGUGGGGUUUCCUGGGAAGCUCCCUGCCAGACAUCUGCUGCCGUCACUCCAUCACCAUCACCACCUCGCUCCCACCCUGCCACCACGCUGUCUAUAUCUGCGAUUUGCCCUUGUUCCGUCUCAGCGUCUCACUCAGAGACGGCUCUUUGUGGCGAGCAGCAGCGCUCCACUGAAUUAUUCAAAGUGCUGGGCACGGACAGACAGUGGAUUAAGUGCCCGUAGAGGAGGAGGAGGUAGAGGGAUGAAGGGGCGAGAGGGGGUUGAGCCCAUUAGACAUGAGGACCUGAGGGAAAAUUAAUUGACGAGGCAGCGGGGCGUUGGCGGCAGUGUUAAAUCAGUUGGUUGUCUGCGUGGAAAGACGCGAUACUGUCAGAAAUGAAAAAAGAGAAAGGGGGGGGGGAAGAGCGAGAGAGCGAGCAGGCACCAUGUCACAUGACCACCGGGAGAUCCCUGAGCAGAGCAGGUCACCUGACUGACUGGAAGUCCACCCUGCUGCCUGAGAACGAUUCCCAGAAGUUACGUCUGUGUGUGUGUGUGUGUGUGUGUGUGUGUGUGUGCGUGCGAGCGAGCGAGCGAGCGAGCGAGCGAAACAAUGCCUCCUGUCCUUGCCCCUAAUACGGCAUGUGUGACAUUGUCACAUAGUCACUUUGUGGGGUAGUUUUGUCUCUUUUACUCGAUUUGAAAUGAAAUAUAUUCACCCUGUUGUUUUUUCAAUCACAUUCAGACAACUCUGGCGGUAGAGUUCCAUGGGUUCCUGUAGAUACAUAAUUGUCAGUGAGGAAUGAAAAGAGGAUUUUGAUGAAACAAAGUUGUGUUGUUGAGUUGCUGUGACUGAUCACAGUCUUUACGAGGAUAAUUCUCCCUCCUCGUCUUCUGCUGGAUCUUUUAGCCCAGCUGUCUCCCACCCACUCAGUCAGACACAGAUGUACAAUUUCACAAGCCAACACUGCCAGGGCAUCAUUUACAUAUCAUUGUGUGUUGAGGUCAGAGAGUCAGGGGGGAUUCGAACAGUUAUGUUUCUUAGAAAACAGAAAGGUCUAAUCUGUUGAAGUGAGCUCUGAGCUGAAGAUCAUCGUUUUACCGGACUGCGGUCUCCGUUCCUCUUGUUCUGGAGGCCAGUGUGGUCAGUGACUAACCAGUGGCUGUGUGUGGGUGUGGGGUCAAGGGAGUUCCAUCAAUCUAGUUUCAACUUUGUUUGUACAGUUUUGUGGCCAAAGACUUUUUUUACUCUUCAGGUAUUGAAGCAAUUCUGGGUUUUUUCUGUCUCCUACAUUGUAAUAACCCCCCAAAAGUCCAACGAGGCCAGAUUCAUAGGAAAUUCUCGAUGAAAACGUGAGACUGUAAGUGUUUAGAAACCAAUAAUUGUAAAUGAACUGUAUAUAUAUAUUGCACUUUUUCUAUCCCACAUUCAGACACUGCCGGCACAGCAGUCAGGGAUGACCCGCUUGACCUCCUGAGCCACAGCCCUAUUGUAGUUCUUCUGUCUGUCUGGUGUGGUUUGAUAUUGAUGAUAUCAAAUCUAUAUGCUUAAAUUUAAAAAAUAAAUGCAAAAGAGAGAAGCAACAUAGCAUGCAACUGAGACAUUGUACAACAGCAGUUUAAAAACACAAUAGGUUUUAGAAAAAUUAAAAAUUAAAACUUUCAAAUUCCCCCCCCCCCCCCCCCAACAGUUGGUAGUGGCAUACUCUGCCCAAUCCUCGGUUUCAUAGGAAUUCUUAUGCUGAGUAAGACAUUAGUCACAGGGCUUUGAAGGUUAUACAGUCAUAGUUCAUACUCAGUGGACACUGCUAAGUUCCUGCUGAGGCUGAUGGGGCAUUAUUCAAAGGCCUGCGCAGCCCGGGAGUGUGACUGAAUAAACACAUUGCAACCAUAACGGCACAGUUCGUUGACAGACUUUAUGGCCCUUCUCUGAGCGAAGCGCCUUCAAGCUUUGUAGAGCGGGAGAAAAAAUGCACUCGGCGUGAAAAGACGUGAAAUAGUUUCCAUGCGAACUCGUCGGCUUGUGUUCCCUGGAGGACGUCCGCUCGUUGGUUUAUAUGUCCCCAGUGGGAAUCUGCUGUUUGCUUUAGUUCCGGGCGGAUUGCGCUCUGGGUUUGUGGGUCUGUGUUUUCAGGCCAGUAGCUCCAGUAACAGGACCAGGCACAACUCGUCUGUGUUUUCAAAAGGAAGCUCUGAAGCUGUUGUUGCUCUCAUUUCUAAAAUAUUUUCUUUUGUUGAAAGAAUGAUAAUUAUGAAAAAGUAUCCCCUGGUUAUAGGUAAAUGUAGGCGAGGUUAACCGUCCUUGAGGUUGACUGAAAUACACGUGUCCACCUCUUGGUUUCAGAGCACCAGUUUUUUUUUCUUUUUCAGAACAUCAAUAAUGAAGAGUAACUGCACAGAUGCAGAGCUUUAAAAACACUGUGCUGCCAGGAGCAGUCGUGAGCCAGCAUUGCUGCGAUGAGGGCAGUACAAAAAAACAGAACAGCUCUGUUGUAUCCAUAAUCAAUCAGACAGACAUCUGGCAGUGAUUCAUUCUAUAAAACUGCACUGUAUUUCAGUUUCAUACCUGCUCUCCUCAGACUCUGUCUCCGUCUCCAUCCUCCUUCAUCUCUCCCUCUAAACAUAAUUGAAGUGCUGCUCCACUCCUAUGUAACCUAAUGCCUGUCCCACAGCCCUAAAGUGUCAUUUGGGCCGCAGCUUAAGUACUCUGUGAGCUCUGUGUGCUCUGUGCUGCGCUCUAACCCGUACAGAUCAGCACAAGCCCAGAUUAGGCAAAUGAAUAAUUCAGUUUAUUGGUUUAAAUGCAGUUUGUGGUAAAAGACGGUAAUAUAACCUCUUAGACUUACUGACCCUCUUCAGUUCAAUUCUACGUCCUGAGGAUCGUGCAUAUAUGUCCGUCAACGUGUCUUAAGUUUUAGGACCAAUGAGGUGACGACCCUCAAAUGUUCCUUCCGAAACUUGGGGACGCAUAAUCUGUGUGUGUGUGUGUGUGUGUGUGUGUGUGUGUGUGUGUGUGUGUGUGUGUGUUUGUGUGUAUGUGUGUAUGUGUGUGUGUGUGUGUGUGUGUGUGUGUGUGUGAGUGUGUUAGUGUGUGUGUAAUAACCAUGAUAUCGAGGGUCUUUGGCAGAGCUGACGCAGCAAAUUCCCUCAAGCCCAUAUAUUUGUCGCUCCUCCCUCUGAUCGAUAUUGUAAGAGAUGUUGUCUUAUUGAAGUGAUCCAGGAGAGGUAGUUAUUAGCCAUCAUUCACCAAUCACUGAUAUUUUGCUUCUAGCUGAGGGCAGCAACUUUUUUAUCUCAGCCUGUGCUGAUGCAUCCGACGGGGCUGAGAUCAACCUGAUGAUCUCAUGAUGCAGUCUUACGGCAGGUCUGCUCUUGGCCUAUGACGAGGUGAACUAUCCACAGCAUUCACCCACGCAGCAGCCUCAACCCUCCACCUUACCUGAUCCUGACAGGCUGCAAAGAGAAAGGUCACAGUUCAGCAUGUGUGUGGCUCACUCCAUCAGCUGCAGGCAGCUGGCCCGGGUUGACCCCAGCGGGUUCUUCGCAGACGUAGUCGUGGUCGUGUGCCAGCGGCAGGGAUCUCUGGGAGCAGACCCAGGCAAUGAUGUCAUUGCCAGCCAGACCAAGGAGCCGCACAAAUCUGUGACACUGUGUCUUCGAAGGAGAUGGAGCCAAGCACAGUGUGUGUGUGUUAACAUAGUAACAGUUUAUGUGUGUCCAUGGUGUGGACAUGCCUAUUGUCGAUUGUCUGUGCCUGGUGUGAGUCAGUCACACUCUUCCUGCAUGCUCUAGCCUUCAAAAGAUGACCCCCUAAAGAUUGUUCAUGUGUGUGUUUGUGUGUGUGUGUGUGUGUGUGUGUGUGUGUGUGUGUGGGAUUCUCUCAUAUGGAGAGAGAAAAAAAAGGGGCUGUUUUUCUCUCUUUCAGGUUUAUGGCAACUUAAGUUUAAAGCUGCUGUGAGUUGGAUGUCGGGGGAGAGGCGAUGACAGUCUGAUGGUCUAAUCCAAUAGGUCUUUUCAUAUGGUGGAAACAGCCGAAUUCACCAUGGCGAUUUUCCCAUUUCUCGUCGACCUGACACUAGUUCCUCUGAGAUGUAUGGGGCCCGUCUGAUGCUUUCCAUGUCAUAUUUGUUUCUGUUUGGCUAGUGAGGGGAGGGGUGAAGCAGGGAGCCAGAGAGAAGAAUCAUUGAAGUGCGAGCCAGUGUUUAUGUUUGUGUCUGGGUUUCCCUCUCGCUCUCUCUCCCUCAUACCCACAACAGCAAGCUUGAUUUCUUUUCCCUCCUUCCCCCUACCUGCCUCCCUCGCGGCCUCCCACUCUCAAAUACAAUUCAAGUCAGCCCCAAAUGAACCUGCCCUUCCUCGACUCUCCCUCCUCCCUGCUGUCUCCCUAUGCACCUGCCAAACUUUACUCUUCAGCCAAUGUUUGUUCUCCAGUCUGGCUCUUGGCGUGGUCCGUCUGGACGCUGAGGAGGAGGAAAACCCAUCAGGUGGCGCACAGCUGGGAGGAGCCGCAAGGCCAGGAAGAAAGAGCGCCUGUGGUACGGGCCUCGGGAUUUUCCAUUGGAACAGCCGAAACCCAGACGUCUGCGCAAGCUUUAUCAGGAAGGAGUUUGUUCCAAACGCACACACACUGCACAACAACACACAUAGAGAAUUCCGACUGGAGGAGGUGUGUGUAAAAUUAUGGAAAUUUCAAUAGCCUGGUCGACUCGUGCCAACUCUCCUUCUCUUUUCUGUCUGUGCAUGUGUUUGUGUGAUUGUGACUAAAUUGAAUCGGCACUUCUGUUUUCAGAAGGCAGGUUUCAGAUAACUACCCAUUCCCCUGUCUACUUCUCUUUCUACCCAAACACAUUAGCACCCACAGCGCUGCUCCAAUAAGGCCUCUCACCUCUGUAAUAUGAGGGUCACCCCACACUGACUUUAACUCAUUUCACCUCAUUUCGUAGCUUCAGAGUUACCCCCAGGGUCAUUACACUGAGACACACUGCCCUGCUGACCUGCCUGUCAACACCCGGAGACAUGCAAAACCUCCACCACCACUCUGCGGGAGACUACAAAAAAUUAUAAAUGUUGAAAAAUACAAUUCAAUAUAUGAAGACAUAGAUUAAGAUAUAUAAUAGGAUACCAUACAUAUAUGGCAAAUGGCCUGUAUUAUAUACCUAUUCUCUAGUCUUAUGGACCACCCAAAGCGCUUUACAGUACAUUCAACCAUUAACACAAACACACACACACACACAAACACAUUCAUACAGCGUUUCUAUGCAUAGCACUUUAUGUCUUGCCCAAAAACACUACAGCACACGGUCCAGACGACCUGGUGUCGAACCGUCAACCUUCUGGUUAGCCAGAAUGCCCAUGUCUGCAAUUUGUACAAUAUCAGUAUUUUUUCUAAUAUUCUAAUUCCAGCCUCAGUUUGAAGCUUUUUUUUUCUGAAUGUGCAGGUUUUUAUUCUGACUUACCGAAAGCAAUGGAAACAACAUCAUUUCCAGAUCAGGUUAGUUGUGCGUCUCAAGCAAAUGUCGUAGGUUUGGUCCCACACAUUCAGUAAGAAUGGAAGACAAAUUACUGUAACAGUCAAGACGGCUGGUCAUUUACCACAAGGCCACAAUGUUUGGUACCUGAGCUUUACUGUAAAAGUAAUAAGGGGCACGUGUGUAUUGUCAGACUCCUACUGUUGAAAGUGACAGCUUAGUGUUUGUUUUCAAGUUAAAAAUGGUUGUAUGCUUGCGUUCAAAAAUGUUUCUCCCUGUUGCAUUUUUAAAUAUCAGGCCUGUAAUCUGCCAUACCAGUGAACCAAAAAUUACAGGAACCAUUUUUACCAAACAACUUAAAAAAAGAUUCCUCUAACUGUCUUGCUAUAUGUCACCUGGGAAUUUUGCUGCAGAUCACAACUGAGAAAAAGUAAACCUUUGGCCUUUUGGUUUACACUUUGUGUCCACCUCUGCACCAGCUGCGGAGCUCUGAAUCUCCGCUGUGCAUAGAAUCACCUUGUGCAGCCAACUGUAUCCCCUCUAACUCUCACCACACCUCUUCUGAUCAGGCUGGGAUUCCCAGCGAGUUCACACACCGUCUGCAUCGCUGUCACCUCCCACAUCCACCGUGGUUUGUUCUGCUGUGGCGAACGUGUAACUGCUCAUGAGUCAGUUAAACUAUGGCGGAGACAUGCUGUGGUUCGCUGAUCUUUACGGCCUCCCUGCUGAGAAUCCAUAUGAGAGAGACCCCCACGAUGUGUCACUCGUAACCACAAGGACACAAACCUGAAAUCUAUGUCUAAUCUCUCGUUUAUGAAGAAGUGAUACUACACUUAAGAGCUUCAUUUGUAUGGUGAGAUACUUAUCUGAACAAGGUCUAUUAUGGCGUUGAGACAGAACAGACUGAUGAUUCAUCAAUAACUGCAUUAUGAAAAUAAGUUAUUUUAGCCUCUAUGUUAAAUCCCUUUAUAGUGCAAUUAUAAACCAAUGUAUUUCCAGGCUAAAAAAGAAAUAAAGAAUUAACUAAGAA